rnacentral:rRNA from 1 species
UAGGGAAUAUUGGACAAUGGGCGAAAGCCUGAUCCAGCAAUGCCGCGUGAGUGAGGAAGGCCUUAGGGUUGUAAAGCUCUUUCGGCGGGGACGAUGAUGACGGUACCCGCAGAAGAAGCCCCGGCUAACUUCGUGCCAGCAGCCGCGGUAAUACGAAGGGGGCAAGCGUUGUUCGGAAUUACUGGGCGUAAAGGGCGCGUAGGCGGCCAUCUUUGUCAGGCGUGAAAGCCCCGGGCUCAACCUGGGAAUUGCGCUUGGGACGGGGUGGCUUGAGUUCGGGAGAGGAGAGUGGAAUUCCCAGUGUAGAGGUGAAAUUCGUAGAUAUUGGGAAGAACACCGGUGGCGAAGGCGGCUCUCUGGACCGAUACUGACGCUGAGGCGCGAAAGCGUGGGGAGCAAACAGG